UGUUCCUUUGUCUGACUCAAAUUUUAAUGUCCAUUUCUGUUCUUUCUUCUUUUUCGCUUUUGAUUUUUUUUGAUCUACUGGGCUUUCGAUAUUGAGUUGCGCGAGUGUUUGCUCAUUUGAAGCAACGGAAUCAUCUAGAGUAAACGAAGGGGACUUUGUAACUUCUUCUUCCUUCUUCGGUAAAGAUUCACCUGAAGAAAGUGGUUUCAUUAUUUCAUCUUCUAAAAGGUCAUCACUAAUUAAUUCAGAAGAGGAAAGCUUGUUCAUAUUUUCAUUUCUUGCAUACUCCACCUCAAAAAAGUUGGCAUCAUUAACGUUCCCUUUAUUUUGAGAGGGUUCCAUAACGAAUUGAUUAUUUUGCUGAGUAUUAUUACUUUCUUUAGGUACCUUAAUUCCACGAGUAGGCUCCUGUAAAACAUUCCAACUCACGUUUGGUUGCAUGUUAGUAAGAUAGACGAUCUCCUGUAAAGAUCUAAACAUGUUAAUAACCUCCAAUUCUAUAAAACAACUUCUUACUUUUUAAUAUAGUUUUUACUUUUCAGUAAGCAGGCUUCUGCAUCGGCCUUUGUAUUGUUUGCGGCUGGUUUAUCAAGUAGAUGGAAUUCGUCUAGAUCUUUAACAGAUAUAUUUUUGUCUUUCCUUAAUUCUCUAAGUGAUUUUUCAAGCAUUUCGGCACGUCUUUGCUGAAAACUAAGAGACUGUUCUAACUUGGCCCUUUCUCUUUCCAGUUGAGCAACCCGAAUCUAAUGAUUAGCUAAUACAGUAAUAUAAGAUUAAUACCUUCAACUCAGCUCUUUCAAUUUCCCAUAAAUUAUGGUCCCUUUCAUUCUUGAAAGCCUCGUACUGUAAAUAUUGAAUUACACCUUGCAAUGUGUACAAAUUGGGCUCUUUGUCGGCACGUUUUUCAUCUUGCCGUUUUAAUGAUAGGUUGGAUUUCAUAAAUGCUUUAUUUCGACAAAAUCCCGGGUAUAUAAAAACCUUUAGGACACUCGUGAAUGAAAGUCGUUGAUGGCUUAUGAGAGAUUCAACAUAACACACCUGAGAGUAAUUAGCACUACUACGGAUGUUCCCUGCAAACUCAUCUUUCAAAUACUAAAAAA